CAGGACCUUUGGGGUUGCUCCCGAUGGCAAGCAUAUCUGGUAUCUUCCUGAAUAAGUGUAUGAAAAUGAAGACACUUAGCGUUUGUUCAGUUUGGUAUCAUGUGUCUCUGCCACAUGGUGAAGUGAAUACAGAUUGGAAGUUCAUUGAAACAUUUUCCAGAAGCUCACUAAUUAUUUGCGCAAGUAGUUCAGUUUUACCAACAAAUAAAAGAGAAAAUUUCACGGAAAAAAUUAAGAGAUGCACCAUCUACUCCAAAACAUAUGUCCAGAGCAUGGCAGUCCACUACACUCUCUCCUGGAGUCCACU